GCCGUCGUGGCUCAAUGGCAGAGCGUCGCUUUCCUAAGGCGAAGGUUGUGGGUUCGACCCCCACCGUCGGUA
rnacentral:tRNA from 1 species